rnacentral:lncRNA from 10 species
AAGAAUUUUUCUUAGUACAUAACAAAAUGGAGUCUCCUAUGCCUACUUCUUUCUACACAGACACAGUAACAAUCUGAUCUCUCUUGCUGUUCCCCACAGGGCCGAGAUCUUGCCACUGCACUCCAGCCUGGGUGACAGAGUGAGACUCCAUCUCAAAAAAAAAAAAAGUGUGCUCUGGGCUGGGCGCAGGGGCUUACAACUGUAAUCCCAGCACUUUGGGAGGCUGAGGCAGGAGGAUCGCUUGAAGUCAGGAGUUUGGGAUCAGAUCCUAUCUCUAGAAAAAUGAUUUUUAAAAAUUAGCUGGGUUGGUGGUGAAUGCCUGUAGUCCCAGCUACUCAGGAGGCUGAGGCAGGAAGAUUGCUGGAGCCCGGGAGUUCAAGGCUGCAGUGAGCUAUGAUCAGGCCACUGCACUCCAGUUUGAGGGACAGAGAGAGAUCCCAUCUCCCUAAAGAACAAAAAAGUGUGCUCUGGUGCCACACUGCCUGGUUAGAUCCUUUGUCCACCACUUAGAUGCAUGUUAUAUAAAUGCUGUCUUCAAUUUCCUCAUCUGUAACUUGGGGAUGAUAAUGCUGUCCCAUGAAGUGGUUGUGGGGACUAAAUGUACGUGGGCACAUUGGUAAGUAUUCAACAAGCUUGAUUUUUCCUGGAGAGGGAGAAAGAGCAUACAGUGAAGUGGCAUGGUCAGGUGCAUUGGGGCAAGGAUUAUUUCCUCUGGCUUCUGCCUCCUGGGAGGUACUAAGGAUGGAUCUGAAAUGUGUCUGCAGACCCCAGAGUUGGGGACUGCAGAGGGAAAUUGAGAUCAGGGACCCCAGUCUGGCAGAAAUGGGUGCAGCAUGGGGCAUUGGGUUCCUUCCAUCAGAGGCAUGGGGUGUGUUGCAGACAGUCAUGAGAUGUGGCUGAAUCUUGCAAGGGAGCCACUGUCCUAGGGUUGCUGCUUGAGACAAAGACCACUGUCAGUGGAACCUGGUGACCUUCACCCUUCUGUGUCAGGCUGCAGACAGCAAGAGAUGGCAGCAGAUUACACCCAACAGGAAAAGGGCCAUUGCUAUCCCACAGGUUGCCAUAGGAGGGGAUGAUAUCUCUUCCCUCUCCUCCUCCAGCAGUGUCAGCUGGGGAAGAGGUGGGUUGGUGUGCACAAAAGAGUAGACCGCAGACCAUGCUGCUUCUCCUCCAGUCUGCUGGGGCCCCAAGAGAGUCUGCAGCCCUUGGCCAGGGACCGGCUGACACAGGAGAACAAAAGAUCUCAGGCUGGGAUAACAUGGUGGUGCAGUUCAUCCUCUGGAGCUCCCUGUGAGAUCAGACUGGAGCCAGUCUCCAGCUGAGACCACAUCUCACUUAGCUCCUUCCCUGCCAUAUCCUGUUUUCCUUACUCCUAUCUCCUGAGAGUCCUGAAUGAAUUACAUGCACUCAAUCCGUGCCUCAGGCUCUGUUUUUCGGGAACUUGACCUAAGACAGAUAUCUUAGUACUAAAUACUUUGCAAGGCUUCAGAAGCUCUGCUAUCCACAGGCAGGUGAGAUAUUACCUUCCCUACCACCUGGCAGUCAUAGUCUAUGAUGCAACUCAGCUUUGUGGAAGUGCUUCUCUAAAGAACUUCCCCCAAUUUAAGAUGAUCUUAAUUUGCUUACUUGUUUACUGUCCAUUCAGCUGCUCUAAAAUGUGAGCUCCAAAUCAGGGACCAUGUCUGGUUGGUUACCCAUUUCCUGGGACCUAGAACGGGCCUAGCUCAGAGCAGGUGCUCACUAUUGAUGGAAUGCAUGUUGAAAGAAUGCAUGAAUCUCAUCUCCUUUUGUGGGUGAAAAUCUCAUCCUAUUCUCACUCCUGAUUAACUUUCUUUCUUUUUUUUUUUUCAAAACGGAGCCCUGAUCUGUCACCCAGGCUGGAGUGCAAUGGUGCCAUCUCAGCUCGCUGCAACCUCUGCCUUCUGGAUUAAAGCAAUUCUCCUGCCUCAGCCUCCCGGGUAGCUGGGAUUACAGGUGCACACCACCACGCCCGGCUAAUUUUUUGUAUUUUUAAUAGAGACAGGGUUUUGCCAUGUUGGCCAGGCUGGUCUCAAACCCCUGACCCUGUGAUCUGCCCGAUUUGGCCUCCCAAAGUCCUGGGAUUACAAACAUGAGCCACCGUACCCAGCCACUCUUGAUUAACUUAAUGGAAAUAUUUAGAGAUUCUUUCUUUUCUGGGUUCUAGAGUCUUCUCUGUAACCUCUGCAGGGGAGUCCUUGAGCAGAAGGAAGCAAGUUGCCUGAGAUUCUUCAAAGCCCGCAGCCCUUUUGGAGGUUAGAUGGUUAUUCUCAGAGCCUUUAUGAUGCAUAAUAAAGACCUAGCUUGGACCAAUAUUAGGAUGAGUUAUCUUGCUAUUAACAUUCUUUUAGGUAGAAGUUGCUGGUCCCAUCUUGCUCACAAUCCUCCAAAGUUUGAAAGUUAUUUUCCAGGAGACUUGGCUUGCACUGAGAGCUGCCCUCCCACCCUCUCUCCAAAUUUCCUCUUGGGGGUAGCCUAACAAGGUGCUGUCACAGACCCUUGUCGGCCACGAUGACCCCACCCAGACCAUCCCUCUGCUGUUUCACUCUUUGAUAGUCUCUGGAGCUCUCUGGGGAGGGGUGAGACCUGCCGUCUAGUUUGUAUGGUUUGCCCAGGUCUUACAGUCAUGGCUGGCUGCCUCUCUCUGAGAACUAGAACUCCUGAACUUGGUGAAAGACCUCAGCCAUCGAUCAUGUUGAAUUAUCGGGGACACUCAUUUGAAAUCCGAGCCUGUUCCAGAUAGACUCUCUCUCUUUCUGCCCUGACCGUGAGAGAAGCCCUGCUGGACGGUGGAGACACUCGUGGGCUGUGAGCAAGGGAUGCAAAGGCUGCCGGGAAUCCCAUCUUUCCAGCAUCAUCUGCCAAGGCACAUUAGUUCCUGGGUAUCUGGAUGGGUUCUAGCAGCAUUACUGUCAUUGAAGGAAAAAUUUUAGCCAUAUUAAAGGUUAAUGCAGCAAUCUCCACAUAGGCUGCCUGGAAGGGAAGCAGGACAAGGUUAGGUUUUCCUUGUGAUGGACAGGAGGCAGGCGGCCCUCCCACAGCCCUGCCUGGCAAUACAGAUGUGUCCCCAAAAGGCACUGGGGGCCAGCUGGAGUGCUAUGCCGAGGCGGACUGACCCGGGCCGUGGGUUCACUCUGCUGGCAGCGGUUUCCCGCCAGCUCCUUGCAGAGUUGGCAGAUGGCCCAGCCCCACAGCAGGAGCCGGGAAUGGCAGAACGAGACACAACAAUUUGAUAUCCACUUGCCAGAUGAGCCGGGUGUCAUCAGUCGCCUGGCUCUAUGCCCAACCUCUUUUUGCAUAAACACUUAUGGAUUCAGCCAAGAGGAAAAGCACUCUGAUUAUGAAUUGAGCAGAAGGAAACAAAGUUCUGCAGAUAAACACCAAUGAAACAAAAAACCACGAAUAAGAAAAAUGACAGAAAAGGAGAACCUUCCCAGAAUCCUCCUGCCAGUGAACGGUCACCAGAGCAAGAGCAUGGAGUCCCUGGGUUUUGAACUGUGAGAUAAGGAAGAUGAUGAAAACCUCCCUAGCAGCCAGGAAUGACGGACGCUGGGGCUUUGAUGGGCACCGGGUGAAAUGGGCAGAGUGGCGCUUACCCGGGAUGGCGGUGAAGCGGGACCGGGAGGUCAUCGUGACAAAGGGUGGCAUGAGGUACCUGGCCUUGACGCCCUCCCCGGCUAGACGGUCCAGAUUGGGGGUGUCCACAUCCUGAUCCUAGUCCCAGCGGAAGCCCUGGAAGGAGAUCAGCAGCAGCUAAACUCCUGGAGGGCAGAGCCAUGCCUGCCAUUUUCAUCAUUGCAUUACCACCACCCAGCACAGUGCCUGGUACAAAAGAGUUGCUCAAUAAAUAAAUCAGGAUGAAUGGACAAAUACACGGAUAGGCACUUUGAACUACAGAUGAGCUUAAAUACUUUGUGUUUUUCUUAGUCAAACAUGUGCAAUUAAGCAUGUGAUAAAUUAUAUGAUGACCACACCUGUGUCUUGCCUGAUGUUCUUUGCAAUCACUAAACAAAGUCAAUUUUGCCUGUUUUGACAGUUCUGUUUUCAACCUAAUGAUCCGUUUCUUUUAACUUCUGGCUGUUGGCUUUGUUUGGGUUUGUUAGCCUGACAAAGUGGCAGAUAUUGGUAUUUGCUCUUUUGUUUAAAUGUCACGAACUUUAAAAAUGCCUUUGCUUUUGGUAAGAAACCCUAGUUAGGACAGUCUAGUGGUCAGGAUGAUUUGGGUUCUGAUGCAGUAACAACAACCCCCAAAUCUCAGUGGCUCCAUGCGGUGAGGUAUUUGUUAGUUUUUGAGACAGGGUCUCACUCUGUCACCCAGACUAGAGUGCAGUGGUGCAAUCUCAGCUCACUGCCACCUCUGCCUCCCAGACUCAAGUGAUUCUCUGCCUCCUGAGUGGCUGGGAUUACAGGCCCGUGCCACUACUGUCUGGCUAAUUUUUUUACUUAGUAGAGACAGGAUUUCACCAUGUUAGCCAGGCUGGUCUUGAACUCCUGACCUCAAAUGAUCCACCUGCCUUGGCCUCCCAAAGUGCUGGGAUGACAGGUGUGAGCCACCAUGUCUGGCCACAAUGAGGCUUAUUCUUGGUCAUGUUGCAUGUCUGGGCUGUGUUAGGGCAUUGUGGGGUGGUCUGUUCAUUGUGUUCACUCAGGGAUCCAGGCUGACAAAAGCCCCAUCUCUGCAUGUGUCCUUGAUCACCACUUCAGGGGAAAGGGAAUGUGCUGGAUCACAGAGCCUCUUAACACUUCCACCUGGAGGUGACUCAAGUUGCUCCUGCUCAUGGUUCAUCGGACAAAACGGAUCACAGAGUCAUGGGCAACUUCUCUGUGCCUGGAAGGGGAACCAAAAUAUGAAUAGCUACAUUGAUUUUCCCUAGCUAUUACACAGAAGGCCUCAUUUAAACACAGUUACUUAUUUGUGUUUUGAAGCUAAUUGUAGUCCAUCAACCUUCACAGAAGAUAUGUGCACUUCUAAGCUAUUAUUAAGCACAGUUUUUUUUUUCUUUUGAGACAGAGUCUCACUCUCUUGCCCAGACUGGUGUGCAGUGGCAUGAUCAUGGAUCACUGCAACUUCUGCCUCCUGGGUUCAAGUGAUUUUCAUGCCUCAGCCUCCCAAAGUGCUGGGAUUACAGACACCCACCACUGCACCUGGCUAAGUUUUGUAUUUUUAGUAGAGAUGGGGUUUCACCAUGUUGGCUUGGCUGGUCUGGAACUCCUGACCUCAGGUUAUCCACCUGCCUUGGCCUCCCAAAGUGCUGAGAUGACAGGCGUGAGCCACCGCACCCGGCCUUGAGUAUGAUUUUUGAUUGGGAACGUCAGAGUUACGGUUUUAGUCUGAGGACAGUAUGACGUGAAGGUGAAAAGUAGAGCUUGGCUGUGAGUUUGCUGGGAUUCCUGUGCUACUUCUACAGUUCUUCGGCUGUGUGACCAUCACCUUUG